GCUGUCUUGUCUCCUCUUCUCUCCCAAGGCGAUGCAUCGUCUGGCGCUGUUCAUCUUCCUUGCUGCUGAUGAUGCUGAGUGAACCAAUGAACAAGCAGAGGGAGAGGGAGCGCGUGGGAGUGCCGGGAGUCCUUUAUUUGGCGAGUUCCCACCAUAAAUCCAGAAAAUACCAGAAUUUGAUUUGAUGGCAACGUUUGAAUACAAAACCGCCGCGCCACCUUCAUGUUUAAGUGAGCACAACACAAGCUAAGGUACCUCUGUCCUCUACGACCCGCGCCUACCCAGAGAGACCAGCAGUCUGUCGCCGCUCACCCAGCUAUUCGCCUCUGCUGCUAAGAAGGGGACUCUUCUGUAAUUAUCAAAAGGACUUUAUGAUUCAUUUGUCGCCCUCUCUGCGGGUUGUCUAUUUUGCCAUUAUAUACAUCUGAAGAGGAUCUAUGUCUUCCCUGUGUUUUGACAUUAAAGG